rnacentral:rRNA from 1 species
GCAAUGCCGCGUGUGUGAAGAAGGCCUCUCGGGUUGUAAAGCACUUUUGUCCGGAAAGAAAUCCUUGGCUCUAAUACAGUCGGGGGAUGACGGUACCGGAAGAAUAAGCACCGGCUAACUACGUGCCAGCAGCCGCGGUAAUACGUAGGGUGCGAGCGUUAAUCGGAAUUACUGGGCGUAAAGCGUGCGCAGGCGGUUUGCUAAGACCGAUGUGAAAUCCCCGGGCUCAACCUGGGAACUGCAUUGGUGACUGGCAGGCUAGAGUAUGGCAGAGGGGGGUAGAAUUCCACGUGUAGCAGUGAAAUGCGUAGAGAUGUGGAGGAAUACCGAUGGCGAAGGCAGCCCCCUGGGCCAAUACUGACGCUCAUGCACGAAAGCGUGGGGAGCAAACAGGAUUAGAUACCCUGGUAGUCCACGCCCUAAACGAUGUCAACUAGUUGUUGGGGAUUCAUUUCCUUAGUAACGUAGCUAACGCGUGAAGUUGACCGCCUGGGGAGUACGGUCGCAAGAUUAAAACUCAAAGGAAUUGACGGGGACCCGCACAAGCGGUGGAUGAUGUGGAUUAAUUCGAUGCAACGCGAAAAACCUUACCUACCCUUGACAUGGUCGGAAUCCUGCUGA